rnacentral:rRNA from 1 species
GACGAACCGUGCGAACGUUGUUCGGAAUCACUGGGCUUAAAGGGCGCGUAGGCGGCCCGCCAAGUCCGGGGUGAAAUACUCCAGCUUAACUGGAGAAGUGCCUUGGAAACUGGCGGGCUCGAGCGAGGUAGGGGUGAUGGGGACUUCCGGUGGAGCGGUGAAAUGCGUUGAUAUCGGAAGGAACGCCGGUGGCGAAAGCGCAUCACUGGACCUCUUCUGACGCUGAGGCGCGAAAGCCAGGGGAGCAAACGGG